GGGGGACGCAGUAGGAUAGGCGAAGCGUGCGAUUGGAUUGCACGUCUAAGCAGUAAGGCUGAGUAUUAGGCAAAUCCGGUACUCGUUAAGGCUGAGCUGUGAUGGGGAGAAGACAUUGUGUCUUCGAGUCGUUGAUUUCACACUGCCGAGAAAAGCCUCUAGAUAGAAAAUAGGUGCCCGUACCGCAAACCGACACAGGUAGUCAAGAUGAGAAUUCUAAGGUGAGCGAGCGAACUCUCGUUAAGGAACUCGGCAAAAUGACCCCGUAACUUCGGGAGAAGGGGUGCUCUUUAGGGUUAACGCCCAGAAGAGCCGCAGUGAAUAGGCCCAAGCGACUGUUUAUCAAAAACACAGGUCUCUGCUAAACCGUAAGGUGAUGUAUAGGGGCUGACGCCUGCCCGGUGCUGGAAGGUUAAGAGGAGUGGUUAGCUUCUGCGAAGCUACGAAUCGAAGCCCCAGUAAACGGCGGCCGUAACUAUAACGGUCCUAAGGUAGCGAAAUUCCUUGUCGGGUAAGUUCCGACCCGCACGAAAGGCGUAACGAUUUGGGCACUGUCUCAACGAGAGACUCGGUGAAAUCAUAGUACCUGUGAAGAUGCAGGUUACCCGCGACAGGACGGAAAGACCCCGUGGAGCUUUACUGUAGCCUGAUAUUGAAAUUCGGCACAGCUUGUACAGGAUAGGUAGGAGCCUUUGAAACGUGAGCGCUAGCUUACGUGGAGGCGCUGGUGGGAUACUACCCUAGCUGUGUUGGCUUUCUAACCCGCACCACUUAUCGUGGUGGGAGACAGUGUCAGGCGGGCAGUUUGACUGGGGCGGUCGCCUCCUAAAAGGUAACGGAGGCGCUCAAAGGUUCCCUCAGAAUGGUUGGAAAUCAUUCAUAGAGUGUAAAGGCAUAAGGGAGCUUGACUGCGAGACCUACAAGUCGAGCAGGGUCGAAAGACGGACUUAGUGAUCCGGUGGUUCCGCAUGGAAGGGCCAUCGCUCAACGGAUAAAAGCUACCCCGGGGAUAACAGGCUUAUCUCCCCCAAGAGUUCACAUCGACGGGGAGGUUUGGCACCUCGAUGUCGGCUCAUCGCAUCCUGGGGCUGUAGUCGGUCCCAAGGGUUGGGCUGUUCGCCCAUUAAAGCGGUACGCGAGCUGGGUUCAGAACGUCGUGAGACAGUUCGGUCCCUAUCCGUCGUGGGCGUAGGAAAUUUGAGAGGAGCUGUCCUUAGUACGAGAGGACCGGGAUGGACAUACCUCUGGUGUACCAGUUGUCGUGCCAACGGCAUAGCUGGGUAGCUAUGUGUGGACGGGAUAAGUGCUGAAAGCAUCUAAGCAUGAAGCCCCCC
rnacentral:rRNA from 1 species